UACGUAGGGGGCGAGCGUUGUCCGGAUUUAUUGGGCGUAAAGAGCUCGUAGGCGGUUUGGCAAGUUGGGUGUGAAAACUCCGGGCUCAACUCGGAGACGCCACUCAAUACUGUCAUGACUCGAGUCCGGUAGGGGAGUGCGGAAUUCCUGGUGUAGCGGUGAAAUGCGCAGAUAUCAGGAGGAACACCGGUGGCGAAGGCGGCACUCUGGGCCGGUACUGACGCUGAGGAGCGAAAGCGUGGGGAGCGAACAGG
rnacentral:rRNA from 1 species